rnacentral:rRNA from 1 species
UACGGAGGGAGCUAGCGUUAUUCGGAAUUACUGGGCGUAAAGCGUACGUAGGCGGCUUUGCAAGUUAGAGGUGAAAGCCCGGAGCUCAACUCCGGAACUGCCUUUAAAACUGCAUCGCUUGAAUCCAGGAGAGGUGAGUGGAAUUCCGAGUGUAGAGGUGAAAUUCGUAGAUAUUCGGAAGAACACCAGUGGCGAAGGCGGCUCACUGGACUGGUAUUGACGCUGAGGUGCGAAAGCGUGGGGAGCAAACAGG